rnacentral:tRNA from 2 species
UCCCUGGUGGUCCAAUGACUAAGAUUCUGUACUUACAAUACAAAGGGCCCAGGUUCAAUCCCUGGUCAGGGAA